GAAAUUAACCUGCGAAUUUUUUCAUCUCGGAUUUGUUGCAGAUUUUCUUUUGCCGCUUCGUCCUCAGGAGUGCUGAAGUCAUCAGUGUUGUCUAUUGAUAUAUCCUACAAUACGACAAAAACAAAAUGGACGUUAUGCCCAGUUCGGAGAAGGAUUUGUGGUUUACGUUUCUAGUCUGCGGAAGCUACACGUUGAACAUUGCAAAAGGGAAUAUGAUUCUUUUCAGCCUGGGUACAUCAGGUAUUUUGCUAUGGAGAGGCUGCUUAGAGGAAUGUCAAACGUUUCACUGAUACAUUGAUGUAAAGAUGAAGACGUCGCUCCAUUCGGAGCAUCGUAGAUUAACUGAAACGAUACAAUGAUGAGAACUUUUCAUAACGCACUUUAGAUAUUUUGGUCGGGAAGAGAGAAUUGAAGUAGAGGCUCUGGGGAAAUAAUAGAUAACCCUUUUGUCCCGGUGGAUCUUCGCCUUUAGCUCUUUUGUACCCUUGUCCCUUCGCUUGUGACCAGCCAAUUUCCCAUCAUGCUUUGUUCUAAUAAAUUAGCGUUGGUGUGCAGUAUCUAUACAGUUCA